AGUGGCGAACGGGUGAGUAACGCGUGAGGAACCUGCCUCAAAGAGGGGGACAACAGUUGGAAACGACUGCUAAUACUGCAUAAGCCCACGGGUCGGCAUCGACCAGAGGGAAAAGGAGCAAUCCGCUUUGAGAUGGCCUCGCGUCCGAUUAGCUAGUUGGUGAGGUAACGGCCCACCAAGGCAACGAUCGGUAGCCGGACUGAGAGGUUGAACGGCCACAUUGGGACUGAGACACGGCCCAGACUCCUACGGGAGGCAGCAGUGGGGAAUAUUGCACAAUGGGGGAAACCCUGAUGCAGCGACGCCGCGUGGAGGAAGAAGGUCUUCGGAUUGUAAACUCCUGUUGUUGGGGAAGAUAAUGACGGUACCCAACAAGGAAGUGACGGCUAACUACGUGCCAGCAGCCGCGGUAAAACGUAGGUCACAAGCGUUGUCCGGAAUUACUGGGUGUAAAGGGAGCGCAGG
rnacentral:rRNA from 1 species